GACGAACGCUGGCGGCGUGCUUAACACAUGCAAGUCGAACGGACAGGCCCUGCUUUUGUGGGGUGCUCGAGUGGCGACCUGAUGAGUAACACGUGAGUAACCUGCCCUUGACUUUGGGAUAACUUCAUGACACUGGGGCUAAUACCGGAUAGGAGCUCCUGCUGCAUGGUGGGGGUUGUAAAGUUUCGUCGGUUGGGGAUGGACUCGCGGCUUAUCAGCUUGUUGGUGGGGUAGUGGCUUACCAAGGCUUUGACGGGUAGCCGGCCUGAGAGGGUAACCGGCGACAUUGGGACUGAGAGACGGCGCAGACUCCUACAGGAGGCAGCGGUGGGGAAAAUUGCACAAUGGGCGGAAGCGUGAUGCAGCAACGUCGCGUGCGGGAUGAGGGCCUUCGUGUGUUAAACCGCUUUCGCCUGUGACGAAGAGUGAGUGACGGUAAUGGGUAAAGAAGCACCGGCUAACUACGUG
rnacentral:rRNA from 1 species